GAUGAACGCUGGCGGCGUGCCUAAUACAUGCAAGUCGAGCGAACGGACGAGAAGCUUGCUUUUCUGAUGUUAGCGGCGGACGGGUGAGUAACACGUGGAUAACCUACCUAUAAGACUGGGAUAACUUCGGGAAACCGGAGCUAAUACCGGAUAAUAUUUUGAACCGCAUGGUUCAAAAGUGAAAGACGGUCUUGCUGUCACUUAUAGAUGGAUCCGCGCUGCAUUAGCUAGUUGGUAAGGUAACGGCUUACCAAGGCAACGAUGCAUAGUCGACCUGAGAGGGUGAUCGGCCACACUGGAACUGAGACACGGUCCAGACUCCUACGGGAGGCAGCAGUAGGGAAUCUUCCGCAAUGGGCGAAAGCCUGACGGAGCAACGCCGCGUGAGUGACGAAGGUCUUCGGAUCGUAAAACUCUGUUAUUAGGGAAGAACAUAUGUGUAAGUAACUGUGCACAUCUUGACGGUACCUAAUCAGAAAGCCACGGCUAACUACGUG
rnacentral:rRNA from 1 species